GACGAACGCUGGCGGCGUGCUUAACACAUGCAAGUCGAACGGAAAGGCCCCUUUGGGGGUACUCGAGUGGCGAACGGGUGAGUAACACGUGAGUAACCUGCCCUUGACUUCGGGAUAACUUCAGGAAACUGGGGCUAAUACCGGAUAGGAAUCCUUGCUGCAUGGUGGGGGUUGGAAAGCUUCGGCGGUUUUGGAUGGACUCGCGGCUUAUCAGCUUGUUGGUGGGGUAGUGGCUUACCAAGGCUUUGACGGGUAGCCGGCCUGAGAGGGCGACCGGCCACAUUGGGACUGAGAGACGGCCCAGACUCCUACGGGAGGCAGCAGUGGGGAAUAUUGCACAAUGGGCGGAAGCCUGAUGCAGCAACGCCGCGUGCGGGAUGACGGCCUUCGGGUGGUAAACCGCUUUCAGCAGGGGCGAAGCUUGUGGUGACGGUACCUGCAGAAGAAGCACCGGCUAACUACGUG
rnacentral:rRNA from 1 species